GUGCUUAGCGGCCCAGCGCCGCUGCCAGUAACCGACAUGCGCGUUUCAGGUCGGCCCUGCUGAUGAACUGAGAGCUGUUGCUGAUCAGAAAGGAAAGCGUAAUUUCCUACAGAGACGUUUGGCUGGCAAGUGGACGAAUCCUUCUGUGUAGACAACUGCAGUUUCAGUCCAGUACCCUGCCUAAAGAGAAGAACAAAAACCAACCCUGACCUUGGAACUGAGAAGUAGGCAGACAGAGAUGACAACAUCCACUGUACGGUCAGAACACUUCUGUGCCUCUCCCAUCUCCAUUUCUGCCUGGAGGCAGGAUCUGGUGGCCGCUGCCUCUUUCCGCAUCGCUGCGUUUCUUCACGACUGAUUUCCCCUCGUGGCACAGUGACAGCAAAUAUACCAACUGGAUCCCUACAAACAAAAGUAGCAGCCGAUUUUCUGAAGUCAAAGAAAACAGAAAAAGGAACACUUUGAGUUGAAACAGUAAAGCAAGGGACAACGUUAAUGCCAAGAAAGACUUCAAAGCAGUAUACAAAUGGAUUACAUUAGAACCAUCUCCCACUAAUUAAACAGCCAUCAAAAGCAGCAGAACAGAGAUAUAGCAGCCAUGCAAGACUAGAAGGAUUCCACGCCGGUGUUUGAGGUUCAAUAAUUAACAACAGAUGCUACUGGGCUUUCUAUGUAACUGAGAGUAGUUACUUAGCCCUGCCUCCUGAAAACUAUUUGAAUGGAGCUUUCACAACAGCCAUCCAAAAUCUGCUUGCAAAUGACACCAAGCAAACUUAAAACUGCAGGACCUGAGCCAUACAGCCAGACAAGGGAUCUCGACAAAGCACUGCCUCCACACUUCGUGCAGAGACGUUUGGCUGGCAAGUGGACGAAUCCUUCUGUGUAGACAACUGCAGUUUCAGUCCAGUACCCUGCCUAAAGAGAAGAACAAAAACCAACCCUGACCUUGGAACUGAGAAGUAGGCAGACAGAGAUGACAACAUCCACUGUACGGUCAGAACACUUCUGUGCCUCUCCCAUCUCCAUUUCUGCCUGGAGGCAGGAUCUGGUGGCCGCUGCCUCUUUCCGCAUCGCUGCGUUUCUUCACGACUGAUUUCCCCUCGUGGCACAGUGACAGCAAAUAUACCAACUGGAUCCCUACAAACAAAAGUAGCAGCCGAUUUUCUGAAGUCAAAGAAAACAGAAACAGAAGAAGGAACACUUUGAGUUGAAACAGUAAAGCAAGGGACAACGUUAAUGCCAAGAAAGACUUCAAAGCAGUAUACAAAUGGAUUACAUUAGAACCAUCUCCCACUAAUUAAACAGCCAUCAAAAGCAGCAGAACAGAGAUAUAGCAGCCAUGCAAGACUAGAAGGAUUCCACGCCGGUGUUUGAGGUUCAAUAAUUAACAACAGAUGCUACUGGGCUUUCUAUGUAACUGAGAGUAGUUACUUAGCCCUGCCUCCUGAAAACUAUUUGAAUGGAGCUUUCACAACAGCCAUCCAAAAUCUGCUUGCAAAUGACACCAAGCAAACUUAAAACUGCAGGACCUGAGCCAUACAGCCAGACAAGGGAUCUCGACAAAGCACUGCCUCCACACUUCGUGCAGAGACGUUUGGCUGGCAAGUGGACGAAUCCUUCCGUGUAGACAACUGCAGUUUCAGUCCAGUACCCUGCCUAAAGAGAAGAACAAAAACCAACCCUGACCUUGGAACUGAGAAGUAGGCAGGUAGCCUGGAGCAGUAUGGUCAGACUCCAUAUCAGAGGAAGCAUGUAAUGCUGAGACCUUCGGCCUGCGGCAACGAAAGCACAAAGAGGUGUGAAACCAAGUUAAUGGCAGCACACCAAGCCCUGUUUAAAAACAACGCGUCAUUUAAACAAAGUGAAGGACCUGAAGAUAGAGCAUUGUUCCAUUUCAUUGUAUACCUAACAUCAGUACCUCCCAGAAGAAGAAAGGUUAUCUCUAAUGAUCACUGGCUUAAGUCUUACAAUGGUUCCAUGCCCUUGGUAAACAUUAAGAGUUCUAAUUGUACUAUUUGCUCCCUUUUUUUUUCCUCUUCAUUUUAUUAAAAAUCAAUCUUGUCUCUAAGAACUGAUAACAAGGUCCAGUAGGUGAACCUGAAGCUGAAACUAGGACAUUCUAGCUUAAAAAUAACUCAUUAGGAUUUAGGCAGGUAAGUCACCUCUGAAAGCAGGCCAUAGAUACUCACAAUUACCAGUUAAAAACAGAUGCUAAACUUGCAUGUCUGCUUCAGAGAGUAUUACAGAUAACCUGAAGGUUACUCUCAGGCAUUGACGAGCUGCACUGGUGAGCGUGGAUUUUUGCACUGAAAACCUGGAGCAGAGAAAUUGCUCAGCAUCACUUAGAUCUGAGGAAUGGCCCUGUGCUGUUAUCAACUACUGUAUACCUAGGGUCAGGCCCAUGGUGCUGUCCUGCUUUCAAUGUAAGCAGGAAGAGAAUAGAAAAAGAACUCAGUGGAAGGCAACAAAGAUGAUAAAGGGCCAGGAACAUUUCCCUUAUGAAGAAAAGCUGAGAGACCUGGGUCUGUUCAGCCUGGAGAAGAGUGAAAGAGGAUCUCAUCACUGUUUCUAAAUAACUAAGUGUGAGAAUCAAGUCCAAGGGGUUGGACGCUUUUUGGUGGUGCACAGCAACAGAACAAGGGGCAAUGGGCAGAAACUGGAAGACAGGAAGUUGCACACCAACACCAAGAGGAAUUUCAUUACUCUGAGGGUGACAGAGCACUGGAACAGGCUGCGCAGAGAGGCUGUGGAAUCUUCUUCUCCUGAGAUGUUCCAGACCCAGCUGGAUGCUCUCCUGUGUGGCUUGCUGUAGAGAACUGCUUUAGCAGGGGGUUGGACGCAAUGAUCUCCAGAGGUCCCUUUCAAUCCUUGUGAUUCUGUGAAAAAUCCAAAGAAGGGCAAAGUGGAGUGAAAAGUUCUAUUUUGGAAGCAGAAGUCUGGGAAAAUCUUACUGUGCAGAGGUCAACGUCUGUUUUU